UAGGGAAUCUUCGGCAAUGGGGGCAACCCUGACCGAGCAACGCCGCGUGAGUGAAGAAGGUUUUCGGAUCGUAAAGCUCUGUUGUAAGAGAAGAACGUGUGUGAGAGUGGAAAGUUCACACAGUGACUGCAACUUACCAGAAAGGGACGGCUAACUACGUGCCAGCAGCCGCGGUAAUACGUAGGUCACGAGCGUUGUCCGGAUUUAUUGGGCGUAAAGCGAGCGCAGGCGGUUUAAUAAGUCUGAAGUUAAAGGCAGUGGCUUAACCAUUGUUCGCUUUGGUAGCUGUUGAACUUGAGUGCAGAAGGAGAGGGUGGAAGUCCAUGUGUUGCGGUGGAAAGCGUAGAUGUAUGGAGGAACACCGGUGGUGAAGGCGGCUCUCUGGUCUGUAACUGACGCUGCGGCUCGAAAGCGUGGGGAGCAACCAGG
rnacentral:rRNA from 1 species